UUUAAUGUCUUGACUCUUCGUUUUAUUUUAAAAAAGUUGUGAUUAAUAUUUUUAUUGUUACUGGGUGAUAAAACAUGAAUAAUACUUUAUGCGUGACUAAUUUUUUUUAAGUUUUUAUACAAUUUUUUUAAAUAAGACGAAUGAUCAAACAUUAGAUACCGAAAAC
rnacentral:pre_miRNA from 1 species